UUCAAAGCACAGCUGGUAGAGCCGAUUUCUAGCUUCCAAUGCUAGAGUUUUGUUUAAACUAUGCUCUG
rnacentral:tRNA from 1 species